rnacentral:rRNA from 1 species
GAAUCUGCCUGGUAGUGGGGGACAACGUUUCGAGGAACGCUAAUACCGCAUACGUCAUACGGGAGAAAGCAGGGGACCUUCGGGCCUUGCGAUCAGAUGAGCCUAGGUCGGAUUAGCUAGUUGGUGAGGUAAUGGCUCACCAAGGCGACUCCGUAACUGGUCUGAGAGGAUGAUCAGUCACACUGGAACUGAGACACGGUCCAGACUUACGGGAGGCAGCAGUGGGGAAUAUUGGACAAUGGGCGAAAGCCUGAUCCAGCCAUGCCGUGUGUGAAGAAGGUCUUCGGAUUGUAAAGCACUUUAAGUUGGGAGGAAGGGCAGUAUUAAUACUUUGCUGUUUUGACGUUACCGACAGAAUAAGCACCGGCUAACUCUGUGCCAAGCCGCGGUAAUACAGAGGGUGCAAGCGUUAAUCGGAAUUACUGGGCGUAAAGCGCGCAGGUGGUUUGUUAAGUUGGAUGUGAAAUCCCCGGGCUCAACCUGGGAACUGCAUCCAACUGGCAAGCUAGAGUAUGGUAGAGGGUGGUGGAAUUUCCUGUGUAGCGGUGAAAUGCGGAUAUAGGAAGGAACACCAGUGGCGAAGGCGACCACCUGGACUGAUACUGACACUGAGGCGAAAGCGUGGGGAGCAAACAGGAUUAGAUACCCUGGUAGUCCACGCCGUAAACGAUCAACUAGCCGUUGGGAGCCUUGAGCUCUUAGUGGCGCAGCUAACGCAUAAGUGACCGC